rnacentral:rRNA from 1 species
AUUGAACGCUGGCGGCAGGCCUAACACAUGCAAGUCGAACGUGUGGCGGAAGGGGGAGUAAUGUCUGGGAAACUGCCCGAUGGAGGGGGAUAACUACUGGAAACGGUAGCUAAUAACGCAUACCAUCGGAGGUGCCCAGAUGGGAUUAGCUAGUAGGUGGGGUAAUGGCGCAACUAGGCAACGAUCCCUAGUUGGUCUGAGAGGAUGACCAGCCACACUUGAACUGAAACACGGUCCAGACUCCUACGGGAGGCAGCAGUGGAGAAUGUUGCACAAUGGGCGCAAGCCUGAUGCAGCCAUGCCGAGUGUAUGAAGAAGGCCUUCGGGUUGUAAAGUACUUUCAGCGAGGAGGCGUUACUCGCAGAAGAAGCACCGGCUAACUCCGUGCCAGCAGCCGCGGUAAUUC